rnacentral:lncRNA from 1 species
AAAAAAAGGCCUGAGGAAAGGAAAGAAUGGUCUCCCUCACACAGAUAGGCCAGAAUACUCGCAUGGUAUAAGGAUGCGCAAGUUUAGCACUUGGACACUACACAUUGAUGUCUGAAGUCCGGUGAUUCUAAGGCCAUGAAGACGGCUUCUGAAUUGCCACCCUCACUGAGUCUUUAAUUUGACGGACGAUUUGGCAUGUUUUCAAAGCCCAGAGGAACGUCAUUGCCAAGACACCACUCUCCUGACUCCACACAGCUGAUCUCAGCUUCGCAUCAUUUCAUUUGAUCUUCUUACUUCCUCAAGUUACCGAGAGACAAACUGUUUUUAGAAGAAUUAAUUUACAUUAAGGGGUUAAAUCCUGGGUAUAUUCUCAGGAAUGAUUACUGGGUCAUACAGUCGUUCUGUUUUUAGUUUUUGAGGAACUUCCAGACUA